rnacentral:rRNA from 1 species
AGCGAACGCUGGCGGCAGGCCUAACACAUGCAAGUCGAACGAACCCUUCGGGGUUAGUGGUGGACGGGUGAGUAACACGUGGGAACGUGCCUUUAGGUCCGGAAUAACUCAGGGAAACUUGUGCUAAUACCGAAUGUGCCCUUCGGGGGACAGAUUUAUCGCCUUUAGAGCGGCCCGCGUCUGAUUAGCUAGUUGGUGAGGUAAUGGCCCACCAAGGCUACGAUCAGUAGCUGGUCUGAGAGGAUGACCAGCCACAUUGGGACUGAGACACGGCCCAAACUCCUACGGGAGGCAGCAGUGGGGAAUCUUGCGCAAUGGGUGAAAGCCUGACGCAGCCAUGCCGCGUGGAUGAUGAAGGUCUUAGGAUUGUAAAAUCCUUUCACCGGUGAAGAUAAUGACUGUAGCCGGAGAAGAAGCCCCGGCUAACUUCGUGCCAGCCGCCGCCGUAACAC